rnacentral:rRNA from 1 species
UACGGGGGGGGCAAGCGUUGUUCGGAAUUACUGAGCGUAAAGGGCGCGUAGGCGGCCUUCUAAGUCGAACGUGAAAUCCCCGGGCUCAACCCGGGAACUGCGUCCGAUACUGGAAGGCUUGAAUCCGGGAGAGGGAUGCGGAAUUCCAGGUGUAGCGGUGAAAUGCGUAGAUAUCUGGAGGAACACCGGUGGCGAAGGCGGCAUCCUGGACCGGUAUUGACGCUGAGGCGCGAAAGCCAGGGGAGCAAACGGG